UGGGGAAUAUUGGACAAUGGGCGCAAGCCUGAUCCAGCCAUGCCGCGUGAGUGAUGAAGGCCUUAGGGUUGUAAAGCUCUUUUAUCCGGGAAGAUAAUGACUGUACCGGAAGAAUAAGCCCCGGCUAACUUCGUGCCAGCAGCCGCGGUAAUACGAAGGGGGCUAGCGUUGCUCGGAAUCACUGGGCGUAAAGGGCGCGUAGGCGGACAGCUAAGUCAGGUGUGAAAUCCCGAGGCUCAACCUCGGAAUUGCCGUUGAUACUGGUUGGCUUGAGAUCGGAAGAGGUAAGUGGAAUUGCGAGUGUAGAGGUGAAAUUCGUAGAUAUUCGCAGGAACACCAGUGGCGAAGGCGACUUACUGGUCCGUAUCUGACGCUGAGGCGCGAAAGCGUGGGGAGCAAACAGG
rnacentral:rRNA from 1 species